CAGCCUCAGUGAUCCCUGGCAAGUGCAGAACCGGUGGGAUGUCCAGAACUGCCGACCAAACAUCACAGAAAUGAGCUAACCCUACAGCUCAGGGCUCUCCCCUUCGUAUCCCACACAGAUCUGGAACACGAGAAUUUCUAGACACACCAACAAAGACUUUCCUCUCCUGAGCCCAUGGGCAGUCUCCCUGCAGUCCCCUGGUGGGGCUGCUUUAAGUAGCUUUAUUUUGACGAAAGCUGCAGCAUUUGGGAGGCUGUUUCCCUGCAUUUCAGAGGUGCUAUGGGAAGGGGCAGGGCGGCAGCUGAUACACGGUGGGCUCUGCAGAGCAAUUCAGAAGGAUGCUGUAUGCCUGAGAUCCCCAGGGGCAUCCCAGCAGGCGUACAGCCCUGCAUCCCCUGCCCUCGAGGCACAGCCACGCUCCGGAUCCCGCAGCCACCACCCUGUGCUUUGCCCUGGGCUCGCACUCAUCCCAGCGCCUGCAGCCUCGUGAAGCUCCGUGCUGCUCUCCUGGGCCCAGGGACAAAGAGCACCCACGCCCCAGGGGUGGGCCGGGACGCCCUCCCUGCGUCACGCCUUGCACCCACCACCUACGCAGGCAGCGGCGCGAGCUGCCGUGCUGCCCUCACCGCGGUGCUGCUCCCCCACCGCCGCAUGCAUGGCUUCCCUGCAGUCAGCCCCACGCUCCGCUCCCGUGCGGGGACGGACCCUCAGGAUGCCAGAUUCGGUUUAACAGCGUCUCAAUACCGAGCUGAGCUGUGAUGCUUCGACCUCGGUGACUUCCAGUGGCUACGGAAGCACAGCCGGCUCUCACCGUGACUCACGCACGGCUAAGUGAUUUUCCCCCUGAGCCCAACACAAACCGCUGCCUCCAGCCAGGCAGGCUUCUUCCUACGUAUGGCGUUUUUAUUGCCCCGAAGCCUCACCAGCACCACGCUGCAGCCUCGCUGAAACGCGGUGCACACAUGCACAUACACGAUCCCAGCCCUGCUCCUACAGGCUGCAGCGGCUCCAGGCAGAGGGAGCGAGCUACCUCCACCCCUUGUACAGAGGCACGGCUGACAAACAUCCAUCGCUGGAAAUCCCAAAUAGGCUUCCAACUCUGGGUGAAUAGGGAAGGUAAUUGCUAAUGAAAUCAAGCCAUAGAUCACCGAUAAGGGUCCAAAAGCCCAGCCUGAACACUAAGCACCAACACGAGGGCCAGCAGCCCUCCCGGCCAGGACGAGCACCCCCUGGUCCCUGCUGGCCAGGGUUGCUCAGGCAGCAGCACCAUUUCUGGGCUUAUUUACCAUCUCUGCACCAAAUUUCUCCAAAGGCGCAAGGAUCAUCAUCAGCUAAACGCAAAGCAGCAGCAGGAGGAAGAGAAGGCACGGAAGGGAAGAGAGGAGCUGAUACAACCACAGACAACAUCGGCAUGGAAAGCUGAAGGAAACAAAGGGCUUGGGAAAA